GAAGUUGUAGUAUAGUGGUAAGUAUUCCUGCUUGUCACGCGCGUGACCCGGGUUCCAUCCCUGGCAACGGUG
rfam:Triticum aestivum genome assembly, contig: Triticum_aestivum_CS42_TGACv1_scaffold_435557_5DL